UCACAGCUACAACGCUCAGGACCUGGAGCUCUGUGAUUGGCUGUUUCCUGAAGCAGUGCACUGUGGGACAUGUAGUCC